rnacentral:lncRNA from 1 species
UCGUACUCCACCCUGUCCCAAGAUUGAGCCGUUUAGUUCAUCAAAACGCCCAAAUUCCAAUGACCCACCUCGUCAUGCCGCCGCAAGUCGACGACUUGGGAGGCGCCAUUUGCAGAGGAGUUUGUUUGGGGUAAGUGGGCACCUAACAAUGAAUCGAGAUUCGUCAUAACCGUUCGUGGACAGGACCGGUCGAACCUGAACUUGGAAAAUCGAUUCAGG